rnacentral:rRNA from 1 species
GACGAACGCUGGCGGCGUGCUUAACACAUGCAAGUCGAACGCUGAAGCUCAGCUUUUGUUGGGUGGAUGAGUGGCGAACGGGUGAGUAACACGUGAGUAACCUGCCCCCUUCUUUGGGAUAACGCCCGGAAACGGGUGCUAAUACUGGAUAUUCACUGGUCUUCGCAUGGGGGUUGGUGGAAAGGGUUUUUCUGGUGGGGGAUGGGCUCGCGGCCUAUCAGCUUGUUGGUGGGGUGAUGGCCUACCAAGGCUUUGACGGGUAGCCGGCCUGAGAGGGUGACCGGUCACAUUGGGACUGAGAUACGGCCCAGACUCCUACGGGAGGCGGCAGCGGGGAAUAUUGCACAAUGGGCGCAAGCCUGAUGCAGCGACGCCGCGUGAGGGAUGGAGGCCUUCGGGUUGUGAACCUCUUUCGCUCAUGGUCAAGCCGCAACAAUGGUUGUGGUGAGGGUAGUGGGUAAAGAAGCGCCGGCUAACUACGUG